rnacentral:lncRNA from 1 species
GCUGUUGGUUGGUGGGUGAGCAGUUGGAUUAAGUUGUUUCUCACUGACUUGGACUUUCCCAACCUGUUGAACCUCAAAAUAGAAAGAACAGGCUUCUGAGAAAUGGCAAAAACAAAAUAUAAGAUAAAAUAAAGACCAUCAAUUUGAAGUUGGGCAAAUCAAACAAACGGAAAGAAAAAAAGCCUGGGAGAAGUCACAAGAAUCAGAGACCCCUUCACUCAAACACACUCAGAAGCCCCAUAAAAAUACCAAAGGACUGAAAGUCAUAGUAGAUAUGCAGAGGACCUGGUACAGACAUGCUCAGUCCCCGUACAUGCUGCUUCAGUAUCUAUAAUAAAAGCAGAGCCUAGCAGCAGAGAGAGAGGUAUUGAUGCUGUGCGAAGCUGUGAUGCUCACGUUAUGAUGCCUACUACCUAUGAAAGAAGAAAAAACAGUCAUGAAGCUCUGAAGCAUUGAAAAGAUACUUCUAGAGUGAACCAUGGCACUCUAGCAGGAAAAUAAAUUGCUACUCAUAUGUAUAUGGGCACGUCCUCUGGAGAACAGGAAACGUAACAGUGAGUACAAUCUCAAUAAGGAAUGAUUCUCCCUACCCCAGGACAGAACACAGGUGUAACAUUUGAUAGGCAAAUUUGCAAUGCUGUGGACUACUGGGCACUCUGGAAUAGCACUGGCUGCUUCCUAUGCAGAUGAAUCAACAGGGAUUUAGUGAGCUUUUACCUAACUCGUGCUUAAUGCAUGAAAUAAGCAGUUUUUAGAAUUUCUGGGCCUAUGUACAGGGGGGGGGGGCUUUCUUUAUAUAUGGAAGCCAAGUGGAUUCUGGGAAUAUGGUGGCUGUUGCCUUGACAACAGGUGUGCUGGUCCCACCUAUGUGAUGUCAUGGGAUCUGGUACCAACAUACCUCCCUUCUUGCUAUUAUAAAGAGAAGGAGGGAAAUCAGGGAGGGAGAAGCCGAUGAUGAAAAGGUCCUCUCAGCUUCUGUCUCCGUCUUAAAUCAGCUGAUCUACACAAGAGAGAAAAUAGAAAUGCCUACGCAGAGACCAUGGCAUCCAUCCUCUAGCUUCAGGCCCAGGAAACACUCCAAAAGGGGAAGAGAGGUUGUAAAAGCCAGAAAAGAAAAUCUACCAUGAGACAAUGUCUCUUAGAAAUGACAUGGAAGUUUCACCCAUGAUACUUCAACAAAAGAGCUGCCUAAAUAUUCCUUAAAGUAUACUACUAAUAGACACACUAACAAGGAAGAAGAAGAAAUCUCCACAACCACAAACAACAACACUAAAACCUGACACAAGGCAACUAAGGAAUGAUGAGACUAGAAGUAGUCUUCCCUGUGGGAUCAAUUCCUUAAUUGCUUAUCUAUUAUCACAUGGUCAACCCUGAAAUCAUAUAUAAACAAGCAACACUUGAACUCAAUGAACUCAGCAAGUUGUAUUUAUUAUAUUUAAGUACUGAUAACAAGUAUACAUGGAUGUGACAAUAAUUGAGUAAAAUAGGCCAUGAGUUUGAGAGGGACAAAUGUGAAGGAGACCUUGAAGGCAAUGUAAUUCCUUAAACAAAACUAUAACAAGACUAGUCUUCUCAUUACUAGUUUUAAAUACACAUAUUAUUUCACGAUGGUCAGCAGUUACUACAAUAUAUGAAAUCUGGAAAAUCUAAAUCUGAUUAAUCUGAAAGACCCUGUUGAAGCAUAGGCUAAUGAGCCUCUUCAUAAGAAAAAAUGUCUAUGCUGCUUCCUCCUCCAGUCUUCAGCUUCUCCUCUGACCAUCCAGGAUCAGGCUAAGGAGGAGGAUCACAAUAGACUAGGAGCUGACUCUGAAGCCUAAGCUAUGCUGCCCAGACUGAUUCUCCUUGCUCAGUCGAAAAUACUGG